CUGCUCGCUUCAGCAGCACAUAUACUAAAAUUGGAAUGAUACAGAGAAGAUUAGCAUGGCCC
rnacentral:snRNA from 1 species